GAACGCACAUUGCGCCCGCCAGUACUCUGGCGGGCAUGCCUGUCCGAGCGUCAUUUCAACCCUCAGGGCUCUCCGGCACUGUUCGGAGGGCGCUGGUGUUGGGGAUCGGCAGUCCCAGCGGCUGCCGUCCCCUAAACGUAGUGGCGGUCUCACUGUGGCCUCCCCUGUGCAGUACUUUGCUCGCAGAGGGAUAGCGGUGCGGCCACGCCGUAAAACGCCCAACUCUUCAAGGUUGACCUCGGAUCAGGUAGGACUACCCGCUGAACUUAAG
rnacentral:misc_RNA from 1 species